GAAAUUWAUUUAAAGUCAGGCCUGCCCMCUGAAUGAUUAAAUGGCCGCAGUAUAUUGACUGUGCAAAGGUAGCAUAAUCAUUAGUUUUUUAAUUGAAAGCUGGAAUGAAAGGUUCGAUGAGAAARUAACUGUCUCAGUAUAAUUAAUUUAGAAUUUUAUUUUUAAGUUAAAAAGCUUAAAUAWAAUUAAUAGACGAGAAGACCCUAUAGAGUUUUAUUUAAUUUUUAAAAUUUUAAGUUUAGUAUUARUAUUGGAUUAUAAAAAUURAAUUUGAUUGGGGUGAUUGAAAAAUUAAAGGAACUUUUAUUAUAAAUUUACAURAAUUAAUGAGUAAUUGAUCCGUUUAUUACGAUUAUAAGAAUAAAUUACCUUAGGGAUAACAGCGUAAUUUUUUUUUAGAGUUCUUAUCGAAAAAAAAGAUUGCGACCUCGAUGUUGGAUUAAAGAAAGUUUUUGGUGUAGAAGUUAAAAAACUAGGUCUGUUCRACCUUUAAAUCUUUACA
rnacentral:rRNA from 1 species